UCAGGAUGAACGCUGGCGGCGUGCUUAACACAUAGCAAGUCGAACGGGGUGAUAAGAGCGGAGUACUGUACGAAGCACUUAUGACCUAGUGGCGGACGGGUGAGUAACACGUGAGUAACCUGCCUCAGACAGUGGAAUAACAUUGGGAAACCAGUGCUAAUACCGCAUAAUGUUUUAUUUCGGCAUCGAGAUGGAACCAAAGGAGGAAUCCGGUCUGAGAUGGACUCGCGUCCGAUUAGGUAGUUGGUGAGGCAACGGCUCACCAAGCCGACGAUCGGUAGCCGGACUGAGAGGUCGACCGGCCACAUUGGGACUGAGACACGGCCCAGACUCCUACGGGAGGCAGCAGUGGGGAAUAUUGGGCAAUGGGCGCAAGCCUGAACCCCAGCAACGCCGCGUGAAGGACGAAGGCCUUCGGGUUGUAAACUUCUUUGAUCAGGGACGAACAGAAUGACGGUACCUGAAGAACAAGCCACGGCUAACUACGUGCCAGCCGCUGC
rnacentral:rRNA from 1 species